rnacentral:rRNA from 1 species
ACAUGUCUUUAAGAAAAUAAUUUAAAGUCUAAUCUGCUCCAUGAUGAAGAAUUAAAUAGCUGCAGAAAUCUAACUGUACAAAGGUAGCAUAAUCAAUAGUUUUUUAAUUAAAAGCUGGAAUGAAUGAUUUAAUAAAGUAAAUGUUGUCUCAAAUUUAAAAAAAUUAUAAUUUUAUAUUUAGUAAAAAAUCUAAAAUAAAUUUAAAAGACGAGAAGACCCUAUAGAUUUUUAUAUUUAAGAUUUAAAUUAUUUAAAUUAAUAAAUAAAUUUAAAUUAAAUAAUAUUUGGUUGGGGAAAUUAUUAAAUUAAUAAAAUUUUAAUAAUUUUGAAACAAUAAUUAUUGAAUAAUUGAUCUUAAUUAUUUAAAUUAAAAGAAUAAAAUACCUUAGGGAUAACAGCAUAAUUUUUUUAGAGAGAUCUUAUUGAUAAAAAAGUUUGUGACCUCGAUGUUGAAUUAAGAUAAAAUUUAAAUGGAGAAGUUUAAAAUUUUUGGUCUGUUCGACCAUUAAAAUCUUACGUGAUCUGA